rnacentral:lncRNA from 1 species
UCUUGGUCCCAAAAGCUCAAGAUUAUCACUCUCACAACUUGUCAUUGAGCAAAAUUCCAUCUCCCAAAAUUUCAAAUUUUUUUGGAAUUUAUUCAUAUUUUUUCUGAAUUUCUGAGUUUCAUGAGUCGACCCCCUUGAGUCGACCCUAUGGCAAACUUGUAAUUACUGCCAACUUCCCACGGGCUCUUUCUUUUUAAUUGGAAGCAUGUUCAUGAGCCGACUCAUCUCUUCAUCUUCCUCCCUCCAAGAACCAUCUUCCUCCCUCCAAGAACCAUCAUCCCCAUUCCCUUUCUCUCCAAAACCAAGGAUCUAGCUCAAGAUUGUUCUCCCUUCUUCUCUCCAUCACAAAUCACCGCCUGGGAAAGAAGAUUUUCUCAUCUUUCUCCCUUGAUUGAAACGGUUGGAGCAUGCCCUAGCCUCCACCGUUCUUCUCAAAACCACCUCUUCUCUCCGCCAAAAUCCCUCUCCAUUCUUUUGUAACCCUUCUUCCACUCAUCCACUUGAUCCUCCAAGUCUCUUUGCCUACUGCUGUGGUGAGAAUGGCUCCGAAGAUGAAGCUCCCUCAGAGAAGAAAGUCGAUCCGUGAGCUAGAAGAAAAUGUCCGCAGAAAAAGGUAAGCUGCUCAGUCCUCCACUGCUCCCACUCCGGCUUCUGUGUCAGCUCAAGGUCCCUCUCAAUCUUCCCUUAGCCCCAGUA